GCUGGGCAUGGUGGUGGGUGCCUGUAAUCUCAGCUACUUGGGAGGCUGAGGCAGGAUAAUCGCUUGAACCCAGGAGGUGAAGGUUGUAGUGAGCUGAGAUCGUGCCACUGCACUCCAGCCUGGGCAACAGAGUGAGAUUCUGUCUCAU
rnacentral:SRP_RNA from 1 species